rnacentral:tmRNA from 1 species
GGGGCUGAUUCUGGAUUCGACGGGAUUUGCGAAACCCAAGGUGCAUGCCGAGGGGCGGUUGGCCUCGUAAAAAGCCACAAAAAAUAGUCGCAAACGACGAAAACUACGCUUUAGCAGCUUAAUAACCUGCUUAGAGCCCUCUCUCCCUAGCCUCCGCUCUUAGGACGGGGAUCAAGAGAGGUCAAACCCAAAAGAGAUCGCGUGGAAGCCCUGCCUGGGGUUGAAGCGUUAAAACUUAAUCAGGCUAGUUUGUUAGUGGCGUGUCCGUCCGCAGCUGGCAAGCGAAUGUAAAGACUGACUAAGCAUGUAGUACCGAGGAUGUAGGAAUUUCGGACGCGGGUUCAACUCCCGCCAGCUCCACCA